GAGCCCGGCCGGGGCUGUAGCGAGGGAGAGCACAGGGGGACGGUCCCUGUCGCUGGGGAGGCUCCUGUGCUGGGGGGAAGGAUGGAGACAGGGUCUGCCCCGAGCAAGGAUGGUCCCCCCAACAGCGGGGGGUCGGAGCAGGGGGACAGCCCAGGCCGGCAGGAAAGGUUGGCGGUGAAGCCACCGGUGCAUCUCUGUCAGGAACUGGGAUACGGCCAGGGGGACAAAGACCCGGUGGCUCGGGGACCACUCCUCUCACCCCCCCCCCGCAUGCACACACUGCCACGGGCGUGGGCUGGGCCAGCCCCUUCCCCACGGCCGGCGCAGGGGUGGGAGCCGAGGAGGGGGGAUGCGCUUCUGGUCUUUUAAUACCUGCAGAAUAAAGUUUGUGUCAGUGCA